rnacentral:misc_RNA from 1 species
GGUUCCGUGGUGAGUGGAUGUGUGAUUACGGGCGUCUUCGUGGCUGAACGCAACUGUGUUCCGCCAGUGGAUUAACCUCGAUGCGAUGAUGUGGUGAAUUGAUGAGUGGUGUUGUGUUCUAAGUGAAGGGAGUGAGCAGGUGGUGUUGUCUGUAGGAACUCACCAGCGUUCUAAUUAACCGCAUAUCUUGUUAUUGAACGAUACAAGAGUAGAUGUGUGGAGUUGCCAUGUAACUUUGGGCAGCGGGGGUUGGUGAGAGAGACUGGCUUGGGGUUUUUCGAAACUGCAGACUGAGUGCCUUAUUUUGCCAUACUACACGGCUGAAAAGUUCGUGGACGUACCCUCUGUUGUUUGAUAUUUUCCUGGCGAGAAGGCAUUCAUUCAGUGAUAUUCGUGAUUUUUCUAGAGAAAAAGAAAAGGUCGAGUAGAAAUGCUUCUUUGACGAGGCUUCGUAUAACACAAUGCAUCAAUUUAACCUCUUGAUUCAAACUACAGCUGAGGAUCUGCCUUGACGCGGGGGUUACUUUGUUAGCAACGGACUCUAUUGUGUGUGUAUGUGUUAGAUGUGUUGGAAAUUGAACCCAAGUACAUGCAAUUGAAAGGCAACAGUUAGAUAAAGAAAAAGAUUACAACAAAAUACAUGCACAGCCCUUCUUCUUCCACCCACACUGCGAGCGCCGAGUGUCACAAUCCUGGCACCUUCUUAUAGCGGUCAAUUGGCAGGGUUGGUGAUGUCAUGAGUGGAGUCCACGUGUUACCGACGGCAUCGUAGCGGCGUGGGCGGCAUGUGGGCGGCGGGCGCGGUGUGGGCGGUGGCGCUGGGUGUGGUGGUGUUGACGCCCACCGUUGCUAGCCUCGGCGGGCCCAACGUGUGUACCAAACAGGAGACGUACACGAGUUUUGUGAAUGUGUCCUACACAAAAGCAUAUAGAGUACGAACUUACACGUACUGCUUCAGCAUUCCGCCCAAGUGUUCCAAGUACAAGAUUGCAUAUAAGACUUCUUUCAAGACGCAAAGCCAAACCAAGACUCGGACAGUGGAUGUGUGUUGUACCGGCUUCACCAGAGUGCCAUCUGAUGACCGGUGCAUACCAAUAUGUUCCCAAGACUGCAUACACGGGGUUUGUCUCAAGCCAGACGAGUGCCGUUGCGAAGCAGGCUACUCGGGUCCAAGCUGUAAUAUAAGCAACUUGAUGGAGUUUGGUAAUGACGACACAGUGCAUAAUGCCCUGGUCCCGUGCUCUGGCCCGCAGUGCUAUGUUUCAUGUCCUGAAGGGAAAUGGGGUAUGGGAUGUAUCCAUGACUGCCCCUGUCUACACGAGGGAAAAUGCGAUCCCUUAUAUGGGAAUUGUUCAUGUCAUGCUGGCUGGAUCGGACCUUAUUGUGAAGAGAAAUGUCAGGAUGGGUAUUAUGGAGUGGACUGCAAAGAUCGGUGUCGCUGUCAGAACGGAGGGACCUGCGACCAUGUGUCCGGGGCAUGCCAGUGCUCACCUGGAUGGACAGGACCCCUUUGUGAGAAGUCUUGUCCAGAGGGCACACACGGCACUGCCUGCAGUAACAAGUGUGCCUGUCAGAAUGGUGGACACUGUGACCCUGUCAAUGGGAAAUGUCAGUGUCCCCCAGGUUGGACGGGAGAUGUGUGUGCCAACCCUUGUCCUCAGGGCACCUGGGGACGUAACUGCUCAGAGCUUUGUGAUUGUUACAAUUCUGCAACAUGUGACCACAUAACAGGUCGCUGCAAGUGUCCUUCUGGAUAUGUAGGAAAUAAGUGCCAAGAGGAAUGUCCAUUGGGGACAUAUGGGGUUAAUUGCACAGAAUCUUGCAAUUGCCGCAAUGGAGCCACUUGUUCACACGUCAGUGGAAGAUGUUUCUGCAAAGAUGGAUGGCUGGGCAAUGACUGCUCAAUGCCAGCUUGUCCUCCAGAUCAGUUUGGACCUGGAUGUUCUCAGAUUUGUUCCUGUGAAAAACAUAACACAGAAAGAUGUCAUCCAUGGACGGGUGAGUGUGAGUGCAAAGCUGGCUGGGCAGGUGAGACCUGUAGUCGAGCCUGCCCUUUCUACAAGUACGGAGAGAAGUGUCAGAACAGUUGCAAUUGCAAGAAUGGAGCUUUCUGUGACCCUGUGGAAGGCACAUGCAUCUGUGCACCAGGGUACCAUGGAAAAGAUUGCAGCGAUCACUGUCCAAAACACAAGUAUGGUCAGAACUGUGAAUUGGAUUGCCGCUGUAAAAAUGCCCUUGGCUGCUCGCAUGAGAGUGGGAAGUGCAUAUGUAGUCCAGGUUGGGGUGGCCAGCAGUGUUCCCUGACAUGUCCACUAGGUUUCUAUGGUGGGAACUGCACGAAGGUGUGUGACUGCCAGAACAACGGCUCUUGUAACCCAGUGACGGGAAAAUGCACCUGCGGCCCUGGCCAUUUUGGGGACAAGUGCCAGAAGACAUGUGACCAGGGCUUCCAUGGUAUGGGCUGUAUUAAUCACUGUGCCUGUGUUGGACCAAAUGUUGAAGGCUGUGACCCAGUCACUGGUAGAUGUAUCUGCAAGCCUGGUUUCCGAGGUGUGAGUUGUGAAUCUAGAUGUCCACGGGGCAACUAUGGUGAAGCUUGCACAAAGAAAUGCGAUUGCAAGAACAACGGGUCCUGCAAGUAUCAGAACGGAAAGUGCAACUGCGAGCGAGGGUGGCAUGGUGCCAACUGCAACACUCCUUGUAGACCUGGCAAAUAUGGAGUUAACUGCAACCAAAACUGCCCAUCUUGUGUGCAUGGAAAUGGUACAUGUGAUGCGCAAGAAGGGACGUGUGUUUGUGCAGCAGGGUGGCGGGGAGCAAGAUGUGACCGCACAUGUCCUUCUGGCUACUGGGGAUUUGUCUGCAGUAAUGAAUGCAGAUGUCGUAAUGGUGCAGAGUGUAACCCAGAAACAGGAGAGUGUCACUGUCUUCCUGGCUGGAGAGGAGCUGACUGCUCACAGCCUUGCCCUCCUGGGACUUUCGGUUACAAUUGCUUGCAAACGUGUCAUUGUCGAAACCAUGCAUCUUGCAGAGGCAAUGAUGGUUUCUGUGAGUGCAAGCCAGGAUGGAUGGGACCAGGGUGUACCCAGACUUGCCCAGAAGGGUAUUAUGGACGCCAGUGCCUGAAUGUGUGCAACUGCACCACCGAUAACUUCAUUUGCCAUCCUGUUGAAGGUUGUAAAUGUCGUUAUGGAUUUGAGGGUGACAUGUGUGAUAUCCCAAUUACCAGUCCCAUCAAAACAAGCGAUGUUCCCUAUCUCCCAACCACACCAAGUGGAUCAAAUAAUGCAGGGCUUAUUGUUGGUGUAGUGUCAAUCAUCCUCAUCACUAUUGUCAUAGCAAUAAUAAUAUACUACAGACGAAGAUUAAAAAGAUUAAAGAGAGAACUUGCCGUAGUCCAGUACACUGCGAAUCCCUCAACAACAGAACGCCCAAAGAUGAUCGAGAGCAAAGAGAGCACUAAGCUUCGUCCUUCUAAUAAGCUCUCGCAGAAGUCGGACAACUGGAAAUCUCUGUCUUGUGUCAGGGAUGAUUCAAAGAGUCAUAUAUUGAAAGAUCAACACCACUUUGACAAUCCAGUGUAUGCGUACCAGACUGUGAGCAAGUCACAGCCCAACCUCUUAGAGAAUGGGAACCUAAACAACGGUGUCACCAUUAAGAAUAACCUCUCUAUUAAAGAUGAUAAGAACAGAGAGUGGGAAAAAUUGGGCACUUUCACCUUUGAUGACGACGUCAGUAGUUUAGGUGCCGUAGGGGGUCAUUAUGAUGUGCCAUCGACCCUUCAGAGGCAAGCAGCGCGAGUGAAAGCAUUAGAAGCCGAUGCCACUAACCCAAACCUUAAUAUUUAUCAUUCUAUUGAAAGUUUAAAGGAUAACCGCCUUGUAGAACAUGUGUAUGACGAAAUAAAACAGCGACCUCCUCCUCCAAAAGAUCCAGUGUUCACAAUAUUCAGAAGGAGUGGUUCGUGUAAGUUUGGCGCAUAUUAAUUGGCGCCAUGAUGUAGCUGAGAAAUGUGUGUGGUUCUCCGUUCCUCAUAGCGGAUGGUGAAUAUGAUCACUUGACAUAUUCGCGUCCAGUGGGUGAAGUGAAGCCUCAUUACUACACCAUGGCCUCUCAGCUCCGGCGUUCUGCUGACCAACUCUCAGGCGAUGACACAAAGACUGC